rnacentral:rRNA from 1 species
UGGGGAAUAUUGGACAAUGGGCGAAAGCCUGAUCCAGCGAUGCCGCGUGAGUGAUGAAGGCCUUAGGGUUGUAAAACUCUUUCGAUGGUGGAGAUAAUGACGGUAACCAUUAAAGAAGUCCCGGCUAAUUUCGUGCCAGCAGCCGCGGUAAUACGAAAGGGACUAGCGUUGUUCGGAAUUACUGGGCGUAAAGCGCAAGUAGGCGGUUUGCUAAGUUAGGGGUGAAAUCCCGGAGCUCAACUCCGGAACUGCCUCUAAAACUGGUAGGCUUGAGGAUGUGAGAGGAUAGUGGAAUUCCGAGUGUAGAGGUGAAAUUCGUAGAUAUUCGGAAGAACACCAGUGGCGAAGGCGACUGUCUGGCACAUUUCUGACGCUGAGAUGCGAAAGCGUGGGGAGCAAACAGG